rnacentral:rRNA from 1 species
AACGAACGCUGGCGGCAGGUCUUAGGCAUGCAAGUCGAACGAGAUCUUCGGAUCUAGUGGCGCACGGGUGCGUAACGCGUGGGAAUCUGCCCUUGGGUUCGGAAUAACUCAGAGAAAUUUGAGCUAAUACCGGAUGAUGACGUAAGUCCAAAGAUUUAUCGCCCAAGGAUGAGCCCGCGUAGGAUUAGCUAGUUGGUGAGGUAAAGGCUCACCAAGGCGACGAUCCUUAGCUGGUCUGAGAGGAUGAUCAGCCACACUGGGACUGAGACACGGCCCAGACUCCUACGGGAGGCAGCAGUGGGGAAUAUUGGACAAUGGGCGAAAGCCUGAUCCAGCAAUGCCGCGUGAGUGAUGAAGGCCUUAGGGUUGUAAAGCUCUUUUACCCGGGAUGAUAAUGACAGUACCGGGAGAAUAAGCUCCGGCUAACUCCGUGCCAGCCGCCGCCGUAA